AACGAACGCUGGCGGCAAGCUUAACACAUGCAAGUCGAACGCCCCGCAAGGGGAGUGGCAGACGGGUGAGUAACGCGUGGGAACCUUCCCUAAAGUACGGAAUAUACCAGGGAAACUUGGAGCAAUACCGUAUACGCCCUUCGGGGGAAAGAUUUAUCGCUAUAGGAUGGGCCCGCGUAGGAUUAGCUAGUUGGUGAGGUAAUGGCUCACCAAGGCGACGAUCCUUAGCUGGUUUGAGAGAAUGACCAGCCACACUGGGACUGAGACACGGCCCAGACUCCUACGGGAGGCAGCAGUGGGGAAUAUUGGACAAUGGGCGCAAGCCUGAUCCAGCCAUGCCGCGUGAGUGAUGAAGGCCUUAGGGUUGUAAAGCUCUUUUAGCAGGGAAGAUAAUGACUGUACCUGCAGAAUAAGCUCCGGCUAACUUCGUGCCAGCAGCCGCCGUAA
rnacentral:rRNA from 1 species